ensembl:snRNA U2 U2 spliceosomal RNA
AUCGCUUCUCGGCCUUUUGGCUAAGAUCAAGUGUAGUAUCUGUUCUUAUCAGUUUAAUAUCUGAUACGUCCCCCAGCGGGGGACUACAUAUUAAGCGGAUUUUUAGAACAGGGAGUAGGCAAAGGAGCUUGCUCCAUCCACUCCACGCAUCGACCCAGUAUUGCAGUGCCUCUGGGAGCGGUGCACUUUCU